AUGUCCCAGCAACGGCAAGGAUCCGAAGAAUCUCCACUCCUCUGUGAUCAAGAACCAGGUCGCCCAAUCUCCGGCGAGCUCGACGCAAUCGAAGCCGCCGAUCAGCAUGCGCCAACUGAUCGAGAACGCUCGCCUCGCCAUGGAUUGGGCGCACCCUGCCUCCGAAGAAGAGGCCAGCCGUCAGCGGGACAUCGAGCAUAG
rnacentral:rRNA from 1 species